GCAGCCUGCAACUCGGCUGCAUGAAGCUGGAAUCGCUAGUAAUCGCGGAUCAGAAUGCCGCGGUGAAUACGUUCCCGGGUCUUGUACACACCGCCCGUCACACCAUGGGAGUCGGGAAUGCCCGAAGUCAGUGACCCAACCGAAAGGGGGGAGCUGCCGAAGGCAGGCCUGGUAACUGGGGUGAAGUCGUAACAAGGUAAC
rnacentral:rRNA from 1 species